GUCCACGCCGUAAACUAUGCAUACAAGCUGUAGUGGAAUUUUAUUCUGCUGUGGCGAAGCUAACGCAAUUAGUAUGCCGCCUGGGGAGUACGGUCGCAAGACUAAAACUCAAAGGAAUUGACGGGGGCCCGCACAAGCGGUGGAUUAUGUGGUUUAAUUCGAAGCAACGCGCAGAACCUUACCUAGGUUUGACAUCCCUUGACAAUCAUAGAAAUAUGACUUUGUAGCAAUACACAAGGAGACAGGUGCUGCAUGGCUGUCGU
rnacentral:rRNA from 1 species